rnacentral:miRNA from 1 species
UCACUGGUUUUCCUCUGACUAAU